rnacentral:tRNA from 4 species
CCGGGUGUAGCCCAGUUGGUAGGGCGCCACAUUUGGGAUGUGGAAGCCGCGCGUUCGAGUCGCGCCACUCGGACCA